AUUGUUCUUUACAUCCAUUUUAUUUCCCAAUCUGCCCCCGACAUCUGGCGCAAACUUAAAAAGGCUGAAGAUGCCCCUCAGACCCCACAACGAGACCUCCUUAACUUGGCUUUCAAAGUCUUUAAUAACAGGGAUGAGCAAAAUAAAUUAGAUAAAGCCCAAAGAGAUCGUGCUAAAUACCAGCUUCUAGCAGCGGCUGUCCAUCAACCCAGCCGUAUCACCCAAGGGCACAAAAGACCCGAUAGCAGCAACCCUCCGGGCCUUGUUUUAAGUGUGGCAAAGAAGGCCACUGGGCAUGGGUGUAUCCUAACCCUUGAGUGCCAAAGAGUCCUUGUCCAGUGUGCCAGCAGACAGGCCACUGGAAGUCCGACUGUCCUCUCAACAGACAGACAAGCCUGCUCCUCAGAGCCACCACCCCUUUAACAAGACAAAAAGUGAAGAACCGCUUGCAUUCCCGCAGCUCCUCAGCCUAGCCGCUGAGGACUGACCGGGCCCAGGGCCCCCGGCCCCAUCUGCCAUCACUGCAUUGGAGCCCAGGGUAACUCUGCGAGUAGCAGGGACGCGCGUGACAUUUGGUGCCGAAACCCGGGACAGGAGGACUCCUUCGGGAGACCAGUCCCCUGUCCUUGCCCUCACUCCGUGAGGAGAUCUACCUACAACCUCGGGUCCUCAGACCAACCAGCCCAAGGAACAUCUCACCAAUUUCAAAUCAGGACCCCACUGGAAAUCGGACUGUCCAACUCGCCCAGCAGCCACUCCCAGAGUCCCUGGAACUCUGGCCCAAGGCUCUCUGACUGACUCCUUCCCAGAUCUUCUUGGCUUUAGCGGCUGAAGACUAAUGCUACCUGAUUGCCUCGGAAGCCUCCUGGACCAUCACAGACGCUUUGGGUAACUCUUACAGUGGAGGGUAAGUCCAUCCCCUUCUUAAUCAAUACGGAGCUUACCCACUCCACAUUACCUUCUUUUCCCUUGCCUCCACAAUUGUGGGUAUUGACGGCCAGGCUUCUAAACCUUUUAAAACUCCCCAACUCUGGUGCCAACUUGGACAACAUUCUUCUGUGCACUCCUUUUUAGUUAUCCUCACCUGCCCAGCUCCCUUAUUAGGUGGAGACAUUUUAACUAAAUUAUCUGCUUCCCUGACUAUUCCUAGACUAUAGCCACACCUCAUUGCUGCCCUUUUCCUCAGUUCAAAGCCUCCUUCACAUCUUCCCCUUGUAUCUCCCCACCUUAAUCCACAAGUAUGGGACACCUCUACUCUCCCCUGGCAACUGAUCACACACCCCUUACUAUCCCAUUAAAACCUAAUCACCCUUAACCCACUCAACGCCAAUAUCCCAUCCCACAGUACACUUUAAAAGGAUUAAAGCCUGUUAUCACUCACCUGUUACAGCAUGGCCUUUUAAAGCCUAUAAACUCUCCUUACAAUUCCCCCAUUUUCCCUGUCCAAAAACCGGACAAGUCUUACAAGUUAGUUCAGGAUCUGCAUCUUAUCAACCAAAUUGUUUUGCCUAUCCACCCUGUAGUGCUAAACCCAUAUACUCUCCUAUCCUCAAUACCUCCCUCCACAACCCCUCCACAACCCAUUAUUCUGUUCUGGGUCUCAAACAUGCUUUCUUUACUAUUCCUUUGCACGCUUCAUCCCAGCCACUCUUUGCUUUCACUUGGACUGACCCUGACACCCAUCAGGCUCAGCAAAUUACCUGGGCUGUACUGCUGCAAGGCUUCAUGGACAGCCCCCAUUACUUCAGUCAAACCCAAAUUUCUUCCUCAUCUGUUACCUAUCUUGGCAUAAUUCUUCAUCAAAACACACAUGCCCUCCCUGCUAAUCAUGUCUGGCUAAUCUCCCAAACCCCAACCCCUUCUACAAAACAACUCCUUUCCUUCCUGGGCAUGGUUAAAUACUUUCACCUUUAAAUACCUGGUUUUGCCAUCCUAACAAAACCAUUACAUAAACACAAAAGAAAACCUAGCUGACCACAUAGAUCCUAAAUCCUUUCCCCAUUCCUCUUUCCGUUCCUUAAAAACAGCCCUGGAAGCUGCUCCCACACUAGCUCUCCCUAACUCAUCCCAACCCUUUUUCAUUACACAGAGCCAAAGUGCAGGGCUGUGCAGUUGAAAUUCUUACACAAGAGCCGGGACCGUGCCCUGUAUCCUUUUUGUCCAAACAACUUGAUCUUACUGUUUUAGGCUGGCCAUCAUGUCUCUGUGUGGCAGCUGCCGUCACCCUAACACUUUUAGAGGCCCUCAAAAUCACAAACUAUGCUCAACUCACUCUCUACAGCCCUCAUAACUUCCAAAAUCUAUUUUCUUCCUCACACCUGAUGCAUAUACUUUCUGCUCCCUGGCUCCUUCAGCUGUACUCACUCUUUGUUGAGUCUCCCACAAUUACCAGUGUUCCUGGCCCAGACUUCAAUCCGGCCUCCCACAUUAUUCCAGAUACCACACCUGACCCCCAUGACUGUAUCUCUCUGAUCCACCUGACAUUCACUCCAUUUCCCCAUAUUUCCUUCUUUCCUGUUCCUCACCCUGAUCACACUUGGUUUAUCCAUGGCAGUUCCACCAGGCCUAAUCACCGCUUACCAGCAAAGGCAGGCUAUGCUAUAGUAUCUUCCACAUCUAUCAUUGAGGCUACUGCUCUGCCCCCUCCACUACCUCUCAGCAAGCCAAACUCAUUGCUUUAACUCAAGCCCUCACUCUUGCAAAGGAACUACGCAUCAAUAUUUAUACUGACUCUAAACAUGCCUUCCAUAUCCUGCCCCACCAUGCUGUUAUAUGGGCUGAAAGAGGUUUCCUCACUACACAAGGGUCCUCCAUCAUUAAUGCCUCUUUAAUAAAAAUACUUCUCAAGGUCGCUUUACUUCCAAAGGAAGCUGGAGUCAUUCACUGCAAGGGCCAUCAAAAGGCAUCAGACCCCACUGCUCGGGGCAACGCUUAUGCUGAUAAGGUAGCUAAAGAAGCAGCUAGCAUUCCAACUUCUAUCCCUCAUGGCAGUUUUUCUCCUUCUCAUCGGUCACUCCCACCUACUCCACCACUGAAACUUCCACCUAUCAAUCUCUUCCCACACAAGGCAAAUAGUUCUUGGACUAAGGAACAUAUCUCCUUCCAGCCUCACAGGCCCAUUCUAUUCUGUCGUCAUUUCAUAACCUCUUCCACGUAGAUUACAAGCUGCUAGUCUGCCUCUUAGAACCUCUCAUUUCCUUUCCAUCAUGGAAAUCUAUCCUCAAGGAAAUCACUUCUCAGUGUUCCAUCUGCUAUUCUACUACUCCUCAGGGAUUGUUCAGGCCCCCUCCCUUCCCUACACAUCAAGCUCGGGGAUUUGCCCCUGCCCAGGACUGGCAAAUUGACUUUACUCACAUGCCCUGAGUCAGGAAACUAAAAUACGUCUCGGUCUAGAUAGACACUUUCACUGGAUGGGUAGAGGCCUUUCCCACAAGGUCAAAAAAAGGCCACCGUGGUCAUUUCUUCCCUUCUGUCAGACAUAAUUCCUCGGUUUGGCCUUCCCACCUCUAUACGGUCCAAUAACGGACUGGCCUUUAUUAGUCAAAUCACCCAAGCAGUUUCUCAGGCUCUUGGUAUUCAGUGGAACCUUCAUACCGCUUACCAUCCUCAAUCUUCAGGAAAGGUAGAAUGGAACAGACUAAUGGUCUUUUAAAAACACACCUCACCAAACUCAGCCUCCAACUUAAAAAGGAGGGCUCUGUCAAGGAUAGAGCCCAAAAACUCACCAACCAAGCAAGUAAUUACGCUGAACCCCCUUGGGCACUCCCUAAUUGGAAGUCCUGGGUCCUCCCAAUUCUUAGUCCUUUAAUACCUGUUUUUCUCCUUCUCUUAUUUGGACCUUGUGUCUUCCGUUUAGCUCUCAAUUCAUAAAAAAACACAUCCAGGCCAUCACCAAUCAUUCUAUAUGACAAAUGCUCCUUCUAAGAACCCCACAAUACCACCCAUUACCCCAAAAUCUUCCUUCAGCUGAAUCUCUCCCACUCCAGGUUCCCACGCCACCCCUAAUCCCACUCGAAGCAGCCCUGAGAAACAUCGCCCAUUAUCUCUUCAUACCACCCCCCCAAAAAUUUUCACUGCCCCAACACUUCAAUACUAUUUUAUGUUAUUUUUCUUAUUAAUAUAAGAAGACAGGAAUGUCAGGCCUCUAAGCCCAAGCCUGCACAUAUACAUCCAGAUGGCCUGAAGCAAGUGAAGAAUCACAAAAGAAGUGAAAAUGGCCGGUCCCUGCCUUAACUGAUAUUUCCUUGUGAAAUUCCUUUUCUCAGAAGCUCCCCAACUGAGCACCUUGUGACCCCCUCCGCCUGCCCCUGCCCACCGGAGAACAACCCCCUUUGACUGUAAUUUUCCACUACCUACCCAAAUCCUCUACAACGGCCCCACCCCUAUCUCCCUUCGAUGAUUCUCUUUUCGGACUCAGCCCGCCUGCACCCAGGUGAAAUAAAUAGCCUUGUUGCUCACACAAAGCCUGUUUGGUGGUCUUUUCACAUGGACGUGUGU
rnacentral:lncRNA from 1 species